GUAAACAUGAUACCAAGUCCUUGGAUGGCUUUAUAAUUUCCCUUGAUGGUAGCUUCUAGCAAAAUACCAAAAUAAAUAGUUCAGGAAAAGAGUCAAUACAGACGUGUGUGUACUUAACUGACGAGUGUUUGAGGAUACGGUGGGUUCCAUGUUGAAUUUUUCCUUAGCGCGUGAUUUCACAGCAAUCUGGGUGCUGUAGUACUUCCCUACAAAGAGGGCUUCACCUAAAUCAGAUUAGAAGAGAAUAUUUCAUUACUGUCUGUCUUUCGGGCAGAAAUGGCAACAGAUAAGCGCAGGGUCCUCUUUGAAACCAUAUCUUGAUUUAGUAAUGUCCGUCCGAUUGGGGCUGAAGCGUCCCCCCACAAGAGUGGCCUCGUAGAUUCUGGCUUGUCCUGCGGGGCCAUUGGUCUAACAGUGGGGGUGUAGGGCUGCAAAGAUGGAUUGGGGAGCAAAGUCGUGAAGGUUUAUUUGCAGCUUAGAGAGACGUCUUCUACUUGAGACAGUAGGAGGCAUUUUCAGGAGCAGCCCAGGGCUCUGGCUCUAGGAAUGACGGUGCCUGUAAAAGGGAGCGCUUGAAAUGAAGAAUGAUCUAGGCAGAGAUGAAAUCAGGAAGCUCUGGCACAUGUUUUUCAGUGUAAGACUUAAGGGGUGAUGAAUCUAGGACCUUAUCAGAAUUAGGAAAAAGCCCUGUUUUGGGAUUGAGAAGUUGAGUUAGAAAUAAUUCUAGGAACCCAGUUGUUUGGAUGAACUUGCACCAGAGUGAACAGAGGAACACAGUGCAAGGUUUGGGUUUCAUUCAGUCAGCCAGCAUUCCCCUUCUCUUCUGGAGUAAAAUGUUCUGGUCACGUGGUCCCAACUCGGCCAUUGGGUGGGUGCUAGUAAUAGAAGAAAAUGAUACACACAGUGAUGAAACUGGACAAGGAACCUUACAUCAGGCAUCCAGCCUGCUUUGUUUGGUCAGAAGGGAGGGACUAUGCAUCUCUCCUAAGGUAGGAGGAGGGCAAGGUGAGAGUCCUGGGCUUUCCCAGCCGCGGCUGUCACUUAGCGCCGAGCGAUGGAUUAUGGGGGCUGAUUUUACCAUUCUUUCUUAUUUUGAUGACGUUUGAAGUUCUUGUGUAAUAAAACGUUUUAUAAAAAAGCAAGAGGGAAUUUUGAUGUGGAUGUUGAUGGAGCGGGAUCAAGGAGGUGCUUUAGGACACAAGGAGGCACUCUCAUAAAGUAAAUCAAACUGACAAAUUUAAUUACACAGAGAACUGAUAUAUGCUGAUAAUGGAAAAUGGUUCAGAAAGCCUGUAGCUGAGUUUUCAAAUCUGUUUUCUGCUUUGCCAUGGGCUGAAAAGAAUUCCCGUUUUCUUCAGAAGAGAAAUGACACAGGUGUUCAUUUUGGUUUAGGAUAAGCAGACUGUGGGAAGACUCACUCAUUUUUAUACCCAGGAUGUACCCUUCUCUUUCCCUGCUGUGGGCACGGCCGUGCUCUUUCCACAGGCAGCCCAGUUACGGGAGCCUCUCGCCACCCAGAUCUGACUUGGUGUCCCACAUCCCAACUGCAUUUUGGUUUCAUCUUUGCUGUGUAUUUUUAAGUCCUGACGUGGCCCGUGCGUGGCUUCAGACGAGUUCAAGGCCACCCGUGAACUCUCACCACCUUCCCCCGCCGCUUGCCUCCUGGACGCACUGCUUCUAUCGCUGAACUAAUGCAGUAACUACUUUCUGCGGCAUCCUUCUUUCUCAUAGAGGAGUCCCAGGUUUUCCGGGCAAGUCCAGCUUAGUUCCGCUCUCAGAAUUGAAUAUUUCCGGCUGUCUUCACUCUGUGCCUGACCCCAGUCGGCUUGGAGCCUCGGUCCCGACCGGGCCUCACGGAGGGGCCGCAGACGGGGCCUGUAGCCUCCUGUCCGAGCGAAGGCGUGCGGGCGGGAGCCAGAGCCGGGGCUGGUGAUGGAAGCGCGACCAGGGCUUUCUAGAAGUUUAUCAGACCCAAAGGUAAUGAUUCAAGAGUCGUUAUUCAUGGUCUGAGAGACUCAGAGCCACAAUUACAGGAUAAACACGUGCGGUGGAAGCCGAAGGAGCAGGCGGGCAGAGGUCGUGGUGACGGAGUGCGGGGCGCUGGUCUCAUCGGUAGGUUCUUUCGUUUCGGCAUUUUCAACUUUAAACCACACUGGGAAAAGCUGGUGAUUCCUGCUUGUCAGAAGAGGGGAGACGAUGGACUAGAAAACACCCGGGAAGAAAAUGCGAGACUGUCAUGUCCCUGGAUGGCACGUGAGGCUGCUCUGUGCUGUUGUCGCCAGCGUUUGGGGGUCUGGUUUGGGUUGGGUUUUGCGUGUCAUUUAAUACGGAAAGUAAUUGUACUUCGCGAGUGAGCGGCUGGGGGACCCAGGCUGGGCCUGGGCCUCGCCUCAGGCGGUUGUCAGCGCGAGUCCUCUGGUGCCCCCAGACCCUCCUCCCCUGCUUCUCUCUGUCAUUGGUGGUUUGUGAUUGUUCCUUUCCUGGAACUUUUGCUUCUCUAUGUUGCAUGUGGAGAGAAUGUCGCUCCGAGGACCGUGUGCUGAUGCUCACGGGAAGAAUCACUGUGCCCCCAGGUAACUGCACGGUGUGUUUUUAUGACUCGAGACUUCGCUUCUCCUUCUCCAAGAAUAAUGCUCCCGGGUUGUCCACGGUGUCUGGCAAGGCCCGGCGUGUCCUGUGGGGCUGCGUGGCGGUGACAGACUCAGCUGGAUGAGAGGCGUGGGUCCCGAGUGUGCUGAGGUCGCUCUGGGUGAGGGCACGUUUCCGAGGACGGUCCCAUCUGCCCCCGCGUACAUUCUUGAAGUGGGAGGGUGGCCCUUCAAGCCUGUCACUGCCGCCCCCGCCCCUCUUUGGGCAGCAUUCCAAUAUUAGGGUCAUAGGCCAUCCUGAGAGACCCUGUCUGCUGCACGCCAGCUCCCGUGAGCUCGUGCUCAGGCCUCUUCGCCGGCCGCGUGUGCUGAACUGAUUCAGGGCAGAGAGGGUAAGAUGAGAUGGACGUCCUGUGAGGCUCCUACAUACACUUUUUCUUUUUUCAAAAUUGGUCCUUAAAAUUAGGGGGGUUUUUUAGUGGAAACGUGUGGCAUUAAAGGUAAUAAUUUGACUCAUGACUAUCAGUGUUGCUGAUGUAGCCGUCUGAGAAGUGGUUGGUGAAUGUCCCACGCUGGGCUUACAAGCAAGGCGGACGCGGCCCCGGCAGGCUUCUCGGAGCCAGUGCCCGGCCGGGCCGGGGGGACAGCCAGUGCAGUCAGCAUCCCAGCAUGGAACAGGCCCUCCCUGUCCUCCCAGUUAAGGGAGCUUCCCUGAGAAAAUCUUUGAGGCCAGUAGAAGAGCAGAAGCUAACGAGACAGGGGGUCCCAGGCAGAGCAGAGCCCCUCAGUGGGUGUAAAUACGACCCAUUCUAAGAACCCGGCGGUCUGGUGUGACUUGAGAGGAAGGGAAGGCACAGACUGAAAGUGACAGGGUCGGCGCCUGUCUGAAAGCCGCCUUAAUGAUGUUGCCUGAGUCCUGAGGGUGAGAGAAAACUGGGUGAUGGUAGCAGACAUGAAAUGGACACAAUCAGAUUUUUUUUUAAAGAUUUUGUUUAUUUGACAGAGAUCACAAGUAAGCAGAGAGGCAGGCAGAGAGGGGAGGGAAGCAGGCCCCCUGCCAAGCAGAGAUCCCGAUGUGGGGCUCAAUCCCAGGACCCUAAAUUCAUGAUCUGAGCGGAAGGCAGAGCUUCAACCCACUGAGCCACCCAGGCGCCUCCAGAUUUUUAUUUUUAAACAAUAUGUACCGUGUAGAAAAUAGAUUUAAAGUGAAAAGAGCGUGGUCUGUUUUGGUGGCCAGAUGGAAGACUGCAUGGGUUGUUUAGGGUGGGGGUGGGGAGAAGAAGGAAUUGGGUUCUUCGACUUUGUGAGGGACAAGUGUUUGUGCUCAGUCCUUGUUGACCCUGGAUGGCGGGUUCAUGGAGUAGAUUUUACCGUUCUUGGUAAAGUUUGCAGAGCUUUGAAAUUUUCUACAAUAAAACCCUGAACGUAGGGAGAUGGAAAGAGAGGGCUCUGGCAGACAGGCGGAUUCAGGGAGGAGACCUGGACAGCUCUGACAUACAGUUUGGGAAUCCCAGGCAAAGGCCAAGGACAAGCCGUGUGAGCUGGUGGGAAAGUCUGGUCUGGGCUAGAAAUAAAUGUGACCGUCACUGGCAUUAUACAGACAAGUGAAAUCAUGUUGGGGUGGGUGACAUCCCUCAGGGACAAGCCCUGACAGGUGUCGUGUUUCUUUGCAGCAGGCCCUUGUGUACUAAUGAAUAAGCAGAUGGUCAGGAAUCAAAGCAGUUACUACUCUGUUCAUUUCCUUAAGCACCAAAAAUUGACACGUUUCCAGAAAAGCAUGCGUUUGUUCUAGCUGAUCUCACCUCUCAUUAUCUCUGUUGCUUUUUUAACCCUGCAGUCUGGUGCCCUCUGAAACACCUGCUUCUCUCUUUUAUUCCCAUGUGCUCCCACCUUUGUCUGCCCUUGCCAGAUUCUCACUUCAGGUUUCUGAGGCUUGAUGCUUCAUACGUUUCCCUUCAUGGGGUCCUUUCAGACCCUCCUUUCUCACCAGCCAGACUGCUGGCUAGGUCUCCUGUAGUAGAAAGACUUGGAAUCAGAGUCCAAAGAUUUCAGUGUCCUUGGGGAAGAGCCCUCUGCUUGGUCUUUCUGCGGGGAAUUCCUUCCUGGCAUUUCUUGGGACAUUUAUGUUUUUCCACAUCCCGAAUCUGAGAAAAGUCGUUCAAGAAAUCAUGAAAACAGAGAAAAGCAUAAUUCUACAAGCAUGAUAGUCCGCAUUCCUGGUUCAACGGAACCCACCCACGGCAGGGGCAGGGACACUCACACACACAGUUGUCUCUGGAACCAAGAGGAGCACACGUUCCAGAAACGCGGUACUGUCGGGUUCGUCUUCCUCAUUGGUGACGCCAGGUUGCAAACGUGGGUGCGUCCUCUCUGCUGCUGAGGGCCUCCUUCUUACAAAUAAAAUACAUGUUAGUGUGUUUAUGCACAUAAUACACUUAAUGUAAAUCCUUUGAAUGGUGUUCCCAAAAAUACCAUGUGUGGGAAGCAAAGUAAGUCCUUAAACUGACAGUCCUGACACGUGAUUCUUUGUAAUGCUGUUGACCUUAACCUUGAAUGUUACCUUAUUCAGACACGGUAUACCCAAUGAUGUUUGCAGGCAUUUUCCUGUGCUUGGAUGCUCGCUACAGCCUACAGUUCUUUGUAAAUACUUGUAGCAGAAGAAAUGCAAAGACAAGAAAAUGUGAAUAUCAAGAAAUAAUUUGACAUGAAAUCAGAAAGCAAUCUAAAACCUGAAUUAGCAACAAUAGUACUAUCAAUUUCAGUGGCAGACCCAAAAUUAAGUCAGGCAGAUAAUAUUUUCAUUGUUAAAAAAAGAAAUGAAUUUAUAUGAAAUAAGAUGUGUGCCAGUUAGAAGAUGCUUUUGGAUGCUAUUGUGAAUUAAGACUGUCAGUGCAGGGGGGCACCUGGGUGGCUCAGUUGGUUAAGCGACUGCCUUCAGCCCAGGUCAUGAUCCUGGAGUCC